rnacentral:tRNA from 1 species
UGGCUCAGUUGGUAGAGCAUGGCGCUUGCAAUGCUUAGGUUGUGGGUUGGAUUCCCAU